rnacentral:tRNA from 1 species
GGGCCUAUAGCUCAGUUGGUUAGAGCAGCGGACUCAUAAUCCGUUGGUCGCAGGUUCAAGUCCUGCUGGGCCCA